rnacentral:lncRNA from 1 species
CCCCCGGCCCACCCUGGCCGCGGCACUGCCCUAGCCACCUUCCGUCUUCCCACACCAGGCUCCGGCCCGGCCACCCUAUUCCUUUACGAGCCGAGCCUCCAGCCACGGCCUCCGGUCCCUGGUCUCUGCCGCGAACGUGAAGGCAGGACCCCUGGGACGCUCCACGUGCGCGCUCGCCUUCUCGGUCCCAGCCCCUGCGUUUGUUCUUCCCGUUUUAAGGUCUCAUCUGGAAGGUGAAUCAUCUUCUGAAGAAGAGGACCAGAAUAAUGCAAGGGACGGGGUAUCAGCAGUAGAGGAAAGCAGCGACCAGAGAAAUGAAGAAGCUGAGGGUCCUACAGAGCAUUCCAGAAGGGAAAUUGAAAAUGACGGGGAAGUCACAGCCCAGGGGGAGGGUGAAGACGAUGAAGCUGAAAUCCAAGGGGUAAUGGAUUCGGAAGAGGAAUUUGAAUCUGAGGGGAAAUUAGAAUCUGAUAUGGAAGGCAUGGCCCCUGGAGGGAAAGUCAGUUCUUCAGAUCUGGCUUCCUCAAGCUUCGGUCCUGGGGAGGUGCCCGGAGAUGGAGUCGGCCCCCCAUACCCGCCUGAAAGAGCAAGGAAGAAAUCUCAUCUCGAAGACGGAGCGGCCCCACGCUCAUCCACAUCCAGAGGAGCGGGGGUCAUCUCCACAGAGCUCUCCCAGCAAGUGCCAGGCUCAUCUGAGCAAAUGGACCAGGAGUCAUUGCAGGGAGCGCUCCAGCAGAAGGUCUUCCCUCUGGGGGCUCAGCACCGCCAGAGCCCAGGGAGCAGCUACACAUCCCUGGACUUUGAUGAACAGCCUCCGGGCACGGAGGGCCCCGCCGCACAGGAGCCAGAGUCUGACGGCGGCACCAGCGAAGGAGCCACACCUUCGUUCCUGGACAGGAUCCAGCAGCUAAGCAUGGCGGAGGAAGGGGGCCUGGUGGAGAGGAUGGAGUCCGAGGGUAGUGAUGAGGCUGAAGAAGACAGGUCCCAACUGGUGGUUUUGGACCCAGACCACCCUCUGAUGAUAAGAUUCCAGGCUGCCCUGAAGAACUACCUUAACCGGCAGAUAGAGAACGUGAAGCUGGAGCUUCAAGAGCUGGGCGUGGCCACCAAGCAAAGCCGAGUCCAGCGGCAGGAGCUGGGGGUGGACCUCUACGGGGUCCAGCAGCACCUGGCCCGCCUACAGAUGCAGCUGGAGAAGAACCAUGACCGCCACUCGAUCGCCGCCUGUGCCAGGCGGCAGAAGGAGGAGGAGCUUCAGAGCGUGCGCUUGCUCUACGCCCGGACCUGCGAGACUGCCAACGAGGAGCGCAAAAAGCUGGCGGCUCUGCAGACGGAGAUGGAGACCCUGGCUCUGCAUCUCUUCUACAUGCAGAACAUGGACCAGGACGUGCGGGAUGACAUCCUCAUAAUGAAGCACGUUGUGAAGAAGUCAGAGGCUGAGCGCUCUCGGGCCGAGUUGGAGAAGCAGCAGCAGGACCUGCACGUGGACCAGCUCACCACCCGAGCCAACCAGCUGGAAGAACAAACCGCGCUGUUCGAGGCUCAGUACCACGCGCAGGUUGAGGACACCCGGAUGCUCAGGAAAGCAGUGAACGAGGCCUGCAUGGAAAUUGACACCAUCAACGUGGAGAAAAAGCGCAUCCUGCAGCAGUGGGCCACCAGCCUGGUGGGCAUGAAGCACCGCGAUGAGGCUCACAAGACCAUCCAGGAGGCGCUCAGCGAAUGCCAGCAUCAAGCCAAGUCCAUGGACGGUGAGCUCGAAGCCUAUAAGAAAUCCAUCGUGAAGGAGGAAGAAAAGAACGAGAAACUGGCCAGCAUCCUGAAUCGGGCAGAGACGGAAGCCAGCCUGAUGCAGAAACUGACGGCGCAGUGCCUGGCCAAGGAGGAGGCCCUGCAGAACGAGUUCAGCACCUACAGGCUCACCCUGCUGGACACAGAGGACGCGCUGGGCAAGGCCCAAAUGACUCUCCACCAGACCAUCCAGCACGAGCUGGAGCUGAGGAGGAAGAUGGAGGCCUCCAUUGUGGAGAAGCUGCAGGAACACAUGACCUCCAACAAGAUGACCAAGUACUUCCACCAGCUCAUCCUGAAGCUCCAGAAGGAAAAGACCAACCUGGUGACACAUCUUUCCAAAAUUGACGGCGACAUUGCUCAGGCCACCCUGGACAUGACAAACACCAGCUGCAGGCUGGACAGGCAUCAGAAGACGCUGGCCGAGCUGGACGAGGAAGUGAAAAAAGUCAACGACCUCAUCGCCAACAGCGAAAAUGAAAUCUCCAGGCGCACGAUCCUGAUUGAGAGAAGACAAGGCCUCAUCAACUUUUCCAACAAGCAGCUGGAGCAGAUGGUUUCUGAGCUUGGGGGGGAAGAAGUGGGGCCCCUGGAGCUGGAGAUCAAGAGGCUGACCAAGCUGACGGAGGAGCUCAGCGCCAGUGUGACCAGGGCCCAGGUGACCUGGCUCCGGCUGCAGCAGGAGAUGGUGAGGGCCACACAGGAGCGGGAGGAGCAGCUGGCCUCCCUGGACAUGUCCAAGAAGGAGAUGCACAUCCUGGAGCAGAAGAAGAUACGAACAGAGAACAAGAUCGACCAGGAGAAGAAGGAGCAGAAGGAGAUCCAGCGCCACAUGAGGAACCUGGACAGCGACCUGAAGAAGCUCAACGUGCUGAUGAACAGGAGCCGGUGCAGCUCGGAGGACCUGCAGCAGGAAAACCUGGCGACGGAGAACGAGUUCCUGCGAGCGCUCAAGGCCUCGGAGCGCGAGACCAUCGAGCUGCAGGAGAAGCUGAACCAGCUCAGCGAGGAGAAGGCGGCCGUGCUCAACAGCCUGGUGGAGGCCGAACACCAGAUCAUGCUUUGGGAGAAAAAGAUCCAACUGGCGAAAGAGAUGCGUGCCUCCGUGGACUCGGAGACGGGGCAGACGGAGAUCCGGGCGAUGAAGGCCGAGGUCCAAAGGAUGAAGGUCAAGCACAGGCAGCUGCUGAAGCAGCAGGAGAAGAUGAUCCGGGACAUGGAGCUGGCCGUCGCCCGCAGAGAAACCAUCUCCACCCGGGCCGAGGGGCAGGGCAAGCUGGACAAGAGGCUGCUCACCCAGACGGACUUCCACCACCAGCAGGCGGAGCUGCGCCGGAAGGUCAGGGACAUUCACAAGGCCACCGAGGAGUGCACCAAAACCAUCCUGGAACUGGAAGAAACUCAGAGAUCCCUGAGCGAGUCCCUCGUGGAGAAGCAGGAGCAGCUGUCAAAGAUGCAGUCCAAGGCCGACGAGCUCGAAGCCGACCUGGACCGGCUGGCGGCCCUCAAGCGGCAGAACCUUUCCACCCUCGUGGCCCUGCAAACGCGCCUCAAGCACCUGCAGGCCGUGAAGGACGGGCGGUACGUCUUCCUGCUCCGCAACAAGCAGUCGCUGCUGUCGGAGCUCAAGCGUCUGGAGGACCGGCUGGGCAGCAUCAACAACAUCCUCCACCACGUGAAGGAGGAGUACCCGCAGUUCCAGGGGGCCCUGCUCAAGGUCAGCCAGUCCAUCACCAACGGGCUGGGGUCCCCUGGGCCCUAGAGAGCGCCUGGGCACCCCUCUUCCAGGCGGGCCCCCAAGGAAGGGAUCAGUUUUGUGCAUUGUCGGGGACUUUGAAUACGUUUGUCUGUCCCUGCUUUACUGAAAGUCACCGCUGCCCUCAGAGAAUGACGCCACUUAAAAAAAUACGCCAGCGCUGUAGGAAUUGUUUGUUUAGCCACCCCGCUGUAUAAAUCAGGUCAAAUCCCAACGUUUCCAGUUCCAUUUUCCACAAGUAUUCCAUUUGCAAAGCAGACCCCCGUGCCCUCGCUGGGCUUACUCGUCCAAGGAAAACGGGAAACCAGGUCUCUGUUCCCGCCCCACUCCCAGCUUGGGUUAAAUCCAGAUGCCCAGCUCACCGGAGCAAGUCCGGAGGACGUGAAGCCCUAGCGGAGUCUGCAGGGCCUGACGUCUGCGAUUAGACCGUGCAGGUGCAGGAACACAGACCUCCUUGUCUGUGUCGGGUCCCCACCACCCUGGUCCACCCCGGGCUCCUCCUCCCACGCUCCGACUCCUGAACCCCUGCUGCCUAUGGCUUCUUCGAGGGCUUAAGGGGAAAGGUAAUUUUACAAAGUAAUUUUAAACUUUUCAGCAGGAAAAUAAAGUUUUUUU